rnacentral:rRNA from 1 species
CCUACGGGAGGCAGCAGUGAGGAAUAUUGGUCAAUGGACGCAAGGCUGAACCAGCCAUGCCGCGUGCAGGAAGAAGGAUCUAUGAGUUGUAAACUGCUUUUGUACGGGGGUAAACGCAUAUACGCGUAUCUAUCUGCAAGUAUCCUACGAAUAAGGAUCGGCUAACUCCGUGCCAGCAGCCGCGGUAAUACGGAGGAUUCAAGCGUUAUCCGGAUUUAUUGGGUUUAAAGGGUGCGUAGGCGGUUGUAUAAGUUAGCGGUGAAAUCCCGUGGCUCAACCUCGGAAUUGCCUCUGAUACUGGUAGGCUAGAGAGUAUUUGCGGUAGGCGGAAUGUAUGGUGUAGCGGUGAAAUGCAUAGAUAUCACGCAGAACACCGAUUGCGAAGGCAGCUUACCAAGCUAUUUCUGACGUUGAGGCACGAAAGCGUGGGGAGCAAACAGGAUUAGAUACCCUUGUAGUC